GGAUGCCUAGUUUAGGUAGAACGUUGUCUUGUGGUGGCAAAAGCAGCAAAAGCUGGCAUCUA
rnacentral:tRNA from 1 species